rnacentral:rRNA from 1 species
GAUGAACGCUGGCGGCGUGCCUAAUACAUGCAAGUCGAGCGAACAGACGAGGAGCUUGCUCCUCUGACGUUAGCGGCGGACGGGUGAGUAACACGUGGAUAACCUACCUAUAAGACUGGGAUAACUUCGGGAAACCGGAGCUAAUACCGGAUAAUAUAUUGAACCGCAUGGUUCAAUAGUGAAAGACGGUUUUGCUGUCACUUAUAGAUGGAUCCGCGCCGCAUUAGCUAGUUGGUAAGGUAACGGCUUACCAAGGCAACGAUGCGUAGCCGACCUGAGAGGGUGAUCGGCCACACUGGAACUGAGACACGGGCCAGACUCCUACGGGAGGCAGCAGUAGGGAAUCUUCCGCAAUGGGCGAAAGCCUGACGGAGCAACGCCGCGUGAGUGAUGAAGGUCUUCGGAUCGUAGAACUCUGUUAUUAGGGAAGAACAAAUGUGUAAGUAACUAUGCACGUCUUGACGGUACCUAAUCAGAAAGCCACGGCUAACUACG